AACGAACGCUGGCGGCAGGCCUAACACAUGCAAGUCGAACGAAGCCUUCGGGCUUAGUGGCGGACGGGUUAGUAACGCGUGGGAACGUACCCUUUGCUACGGAACAACAGUUGGAAACGACUGCUAAUACCGUAUGAGCCCUACGGGGGAAAGAUUUAUCGGCAAAGGAUCGGCCCGCGUUGGAUUAGGUAGUUGGUGAGGUAACGGCUCACCAAGCCUACGAUCCAUAGCUGGUUUGAGAGGAUGAUCAGCAACACUGGGACUGAGACACGGCCCAG
rnacentral:rRNA from 1 species